GGCCCGGGCGCCCCGGGGAGGGCGUGAUGACGUCACGACGCCGGGUUGGAGGCCGCGGUCGCCAUAGCAAUGGGGGUUGCUCCGCGGCGGGAGGAAGCCAUUGCCGGCUUCGCUAGGUGGUUCCUGGCUAGGGCCGUGCGGAGGAGCCUCGAGGGGAUGGGACUCCGAGGGACGGUCCUCUCCUGCGCCCUCUAGGACGCGCCCCGAGGGAAUGGUACCCUGACAGUGUUCUCUGUGGGACGUUCCCCCGCAGGGACUCCCCCCUGAGGGACGCUGUUCUCCGCGCUCUGUGAGAAGGGACGCCCCUCCUGUCUCCCGAGAGGAAGGGCCUCUCUGCUGGACCCUGAUGAUCUCCCUGAGAUACGGUUCUCUCUGAGGGAAGGUUCCCUGACAGCCUCUGCUGAGGAAUAACCCUCCUUUCCCCAAGAGAUGACAUUUUGAUGGAUGGACCCCCGAGGGACAGCACCCCGACAGUCUUCUCGGGUUCUUGGGCUCUCCACCCAUCCCCCUAUCAGCCCCUAACCACCUGCUCCCCUUGAAUGUGAAGAACAAAACAAAAUGCCCCCUAUUUCUUUUUAUGUUUUUCUGUAGUCUUUUUUUGGGGGGCGGGGACUUGGGAGGAACCUCAAACUCACUGUAUCCCAAGGUGGCCUUGAACUUGUGAUCCUCUUGACUCCCAGCUGCCACCCAAAGUUCAAAAGUUCUUUUCUCGUUUCCUCUCCAAGCAGGAAGGAAUUAUGACUUAGGAUAUUUUCAGAGAAAAGGAAAAGGAAAUGAGCUCCCAGUUAGAAAUGAGUAGAUCCGGUGGGAGGACCCUGGGCACGCGCCUGCUGCCCCGACGUCUCAGUGGGGCACUGGAGUUUCCACCGGGUGCCCUAGUAUAGCCCCAGUAGCCGGCAGCCCAGCAACAGGCACAGGACUUUCCCAGGGCUUUCCAGUACAGAUUGUUGGUUGGAAAUACAGCAAGAAAGCCAGACACUGUGCUGGGGAGGUGGAAGCAGGGGGAUCAAGAGUUCACGAUCAGGGCAGGCAGCCUGCUAACCUUAGCUCCAUCCCUGGGACACACGUGGUGGAAAAGAAGCUGUUCCCCCCAGCUGUCCUCUGAACUCCAAAGGCGCAUGGUGGCAUGCACACACACACACACACACACACACACACACACAGUGGCAUGCAUGUGCAAGCACACAAACACAUAUACACACAAUGGAAAACCUCAAGAUCACCUUCAGCCACUUGGUAAAUUCAAAAUACUAGAAUUCAGGAUGAACCAUCAUGCCUGCUCAACUCCACUUCUUACCAUAUAAACAUACGUCUCUUCUUUGCAGAUGGUAACUCUGCUCAUUGCACACCUCACUCCCAUCACUCACUUGCGUCCUCCAAUUACACAUUUAACAAAAAUCAGAAACCGUUUGUUUAUGGAAUCUAUUAGCAAUAGACUAAUUUUUUUUUUUUAAGUCGGCAUCUCACUGUGUAGCCCUGGCUGGCCUGUUACUAGGUAGAUUAGACUGGCCUCCACCUUCCAAGUGCUGGGAUCAAAGGGGUAUGCCCCUGUACCCAGCUGAAGUAAUGAUUCUAAAAACAUUUCAGGUCCAAAGAACUGGUGAGGAAGAAUUUUUUUUUUAUUAUUUUGGUACUAGGAGUCAGACUCAGCCUCAUGCACACUGGCACAGCUCUCUGCUGCUGAGCCACGGGUAAGGAAAAGGUAGGAGAGGGCAGCAGGCCCUGGCGGCUCUCGGUUGCCGUGGUACAGCGGCCUGGAUCUGUUUCUCAGUUUUGCAGGAAUAGAACUUUUGUCGAUUCACUUUUUUUUAAUCACACUAAAUCAGACUCAUAGGAAGUCAGUGUAAUGAAAUAGAAUGCCAGCUCAUUUACGCUUCUAGCCAUCUGUGGGGCGGAUUAUCUCCCUGGUUGAGAAAUCUGUGUGGAGACUAUCAGAGCUACAAAGUUUCACAUUGUGAUCACCGAACAUGCCCAUAUCUCACUGCUUGGGUAUCAUGGCAGUUCAGUGAUCAUGGAGUGACUUCCCUCCCUUCACCACAGAUGUUAGAGAGAAGGCACAAGAUUCUGGUGGCUCAACCCAAGAUACUGAUUGCUCAGGCCAACUUUUUCCCUUGUUUCUCAAGCCAGACUCUGAAAUGACUAUCCUAAAUCGAGGCUCUUAUCUAUAAAAAGUUAGUAGUUGUUUGUCAUGUCCAUGGCCGAGUGAUGAUGGUAGCAGCUGACUUACCUAUAUUUCAUAGUUUUCCUAUCUAAGACUAUCUUCCAUUAAAAAGAACAUAUUUGGGUGGCUAUAAACGCUAGGAACAUCUUUUUGUUGUUGUUUUGGUGUUUUCAAGACAGGGUUUCUCUGUGUAGCCCUGGCUGUCCUGGAACUUGGUCUGUAGACCAGGCUGGCCUAGAACUCAGAGAUCCGGCUACCUUUGCCUCCCAAGUGUUAGGAUUAAAGGUGUGUGCCGAUACCGCCUCAUCAUAAUUAAAGUUAUGUCCGAGCCACUUGUAUCCUAGGCAGCUUUUACAGACUGUACUGUGGUUAAGAGGAAUGAUACUUUAAAGAUUUAUUUUGAUUUUUUUUUUAUUUUUAUUUUUUAUGUGUGUGUACAGAGACCAGAAAGAGGGUAGCAGAUCUCCUGGAGCUGUAAUUACUUCAGCCACCUGAUGUGGGUGCUGGGAACUGAACUCAGGUCCUAUGCAAGAGCAGCAAGUAGUCUUAACUGCUGAGCCAUCGCUCCGGCCCGGGGGAGAGCAAUACUUUAAAUAUCCACCCACCCACCCCUCUCUUUCUUUGAGACAGGUUUCCAUUGUAUAUCCCUGGCUUGCCUGACACUACAUAGAUCAGGCUGGUCUCAAGUUUGAAGAGGUCCUUCUGCCUCUGCUUCCUGAAUGCUGGCAUUAGAGACAUAAGCUGCCAUGCUCAGCAAGGGAAAGUUCCUGAUAAUGCUUUUAAAGCUGGACAGGGACAAGACUUUUCAGCUUUUGAGCUGGGGCGGAAAGAGCCAGGCUUGCCCGGAAGUCAGAAGUCACUUCUGACUCUCAGGAUCCCCCCAGCUAUAGGACAAGCUGUUGAAGUAGAGGAAAAGAUGAGUGCCAGACUGAGGAGUUUCAUUUCGUAUUUUAAUAAUAUAAAAAAGACAAUACAAAAUUCAAACAUUCCUCUUUACAAGUUCAGAUACAUAAUUUUCCCCAAGUGCAAAAUACUGUAUGAACCACAUUGUUGGUAUUUACUGUCAGCUGAGAUGCUUGCUGUAUUGGCAGUGGAAGGCAGAUAUAAAUACAGUAUUUUGAGAUUUUCUUCUGCAUUAAAAAAAAAAAAGCCUUCCGCAUGGUAAUUAUUCUCUGAAACUUCAACUCACACAGAACAAAAUUCUUAGCUUGUCCAAACUGCUACCAUUGUUUUGUCUUGGUAAGCUGAUAGCAGAAAUGGGCUUCUAGUCCCUCUUUUAAAGAUUCCUAAUCCGAAUAAUGGCAGAAGGGCAGCAUGUGCUAGCUCUGAGACAGGUCCAAUGUGAAGGUUUCCUUGGCAGCGUCUGCUUAGGAGUGAAACCAGGCUGGGAAAUGUCCUGCUUGGGGACAGUUACAUGUCGCCUCUGCUCCGCUACUUGAAGCUCAGCAGCAAAAGCAGACACUUGAGUGCGUGACAGCCUCUUCUGACACACUGGGAUACAACUUCCUAAUCCACCUUAAGACACAGAGAAGAGGACUUUGCAGAUUCACAGAGAUACAGAAGCCAGAGCCCAGACUGCACUGCUGAACUUGAAGCAACAAAUCUGUCCUUUUCCUCCAUGUUCCGGGGGAACUGAGCACAGUGAUGGCAAUCCUCUGAGGAUCGCGGAAGGCAUAGGGCAGGCUACUAAGGUCCUGGCUCUGGUCAGUCUUCUCCUAAUUCUGAGAAUCCCUUCACGCGUCAGGGAUCGGCUGGCAGAGGCGGAGGGCUAAAGAGGCACUGAGGUGCUGCCAAGGACCCAAGAGCCUGCUUGAGAUGUGUCAGUCACUUGGUGCUCGGAGGCCGCGUGGAAAUGACUUCCCACGGCAGGACUCCCUUCAGAGCAGGUCUGUGCUAAGAUGGAUGAGGUGCCAUGGUCCUGUGGCCUCACAGAUACCAUGGCCCGCAGAGAAGCUUCUGGGUCAGUUGGUUCCACACCAUCUUCCCUUCCCUGCCCCCACUUCCUCCUAGAAACCUUUUGUCUAACCUGUGCAGUCCUAAAAGUCCCUGAGUUGUUGACUCCUCGUUCAAUCCACUUUGCCCCCACUUAGAUGCCCCAGGGCCUGUACCUUCCGUAAGUUCAGCAGCCGCUCUGCCUGGAUUCCUCACUGCCAGCUUGGUUGACAGUGGCAAGUCCUCGCUUGAUCUCCUCAUCCAUCUUGAUAGGAGCUAAGCCUAGUGGCCUGAACCUCGCAACGCAUGUGCCCUGGGCCACAGAACAAAUGAUCGCAGGCAGGAUCUGCACAUGUGUGGUGUGACAGCAAAGGGAGCAAGGAGAAACCAUAUCACAAUGGCACAUGGGAGGCACUGUGGCUGUGCGGCUUUCCAGGAGCUGAGCAAAUGGCAGGGAAAGAGGACUCUCAGUUCUCCUUGCUUCUGGCAGGAUAGUCAAGGCUGCUUCGGGCUGCUCUGUGGCACUUCUGGAGAAGUACAGACAGUCCACGUACCCUUCUUGUGACAGCUUUACAAUAGCUCUCUGACCCAGAAGACAGACAGCAGACCCCCACGGUGGUGACUAACAUGUCCAAGAAGCUGGCUUUGCUUGCCGUUGGCUAGUGUGUGUGGAUCAGGUGGCUGGUGACUGUCCAGGACUAUGGCCUCCGGGACCGAGAGGGAGCAGUUGCGUGCUUUACAGGGUGCAGAGCCUGGCCUUGGGCAUAGACACCAUUCUCCCUUUUGGAGAGCAGCUGUUGAAACAGGCUUGAAGUCAGCUCUGCUGCUCCUCGUUCCUCCACCAGCUUCGUACGUGGAUACUUGUCCUGGUCUAGGCUGCUCCAGCCUUCUCUGGACGCCUUGGGAGCCUGAGCUGACCCAUCCCUAGAGUUCGUCCUGAUCUCCCGGGUGCAUGCCAGAGGACAACACGGAGGCAAGAAAAGGCCAGAGGCUCUCUCUACCUGCAGAUCACUGACCAGCUCCGUCUGCAUCUAUAAUCCAGAGAGGCGCGAGGGUGGCAGCGUCAGCUUAGCCAACAGCCCUCUCCCCGCUUCAUCAGGUCACCAGAGCUGCUCUCCUACACUUUGGCUGCCUGUGAGGGAAUGCCCUGGCUCGGCACAGCUGAGGGUGGCCUCGGGUAGGACAGACAGAUGCUCCAGCACUCAAGGCUCCUGAGCGUCAAACUGCUAUUCCUCCACUCCCAACACACUCUUCUCUCCUGGGCAGCUAUAAAUAGGGUUACUCUAAGAGGAAAAAGAAACAAACAAAAAACAACCCCCCUCCCUCUAAUCGACACAGAAAGACUCAAAAAUGAUUGCACUUCUCAGAUGUGGGCACGGUGGCCAGGCGGCCUGCCAAGGGCACACACGCAUCCCUCUUGCUGCCCACAGCCCGAGGCCAGAGGUAGGCAGCUCCAGGCUGGUUGCAGAGUGGGGUCCUCUUUGGUGGAGCCCACAAGCCACCUGGGGCUACAAGGGAAAAACAGCUGUGGAGCACGAUCUAGGCUGGCGAGGGUCAACGGCCAGGUUUAAGGACGGCACUUAGUAAGAGGAGUGGGUCCCCCCACCCCGGGGAGCACUUAGGUGGGGUGAGGGCGUGGCUGGGCCAGGGAGGACUGGCAAGAGGAGGUUAGUGUUUGAGGCUGGCUUCUACUUGUCUACAGUUGAGUCCUUUUGGUGAUAAUUUGCUUUGUUUUGGGCAAUGCUUUAAAAACCUGCUUUCUGUCCUGCAGAGCUGGCUGAGGGCGCUGUAUGUCGGGAGCGCCUGCAGGGUGCUGGCAAACAAGGCCUGCUGCUCCCCCUUACUCGGCUGCGGUUUGCCAGCCCAGGGCUAUGGAACAUGUAAGCCCUAUGGAGCAGCCCCAGGCAGACAGCAGGGAGUGCUCCAGAGGAGGACACCGACUAAACGGGCACCCCAGGGCUCACGGUGUGCCCUGGCAGCCUGGUGCCAGCAGCUGGCAUAAACCUGUCGUGUCAAAGGCUUCUCUGGCAGGACUCUGGGCUGUGAAGAGUCACCCUGGGGAGCACAGCAAGGGCCAUUUUGACUCCUGGCUAGCCAGCAAGGCACAACCCUAUAAUGGCAGAAAUGGCAGAAGCCUUUCUUACCCACCCCUACUCCCUAGCAGGCCCGUUCCUCUCCUGGGCCUCCAACACCCUUCCAGACUGACAAGGGGCUGGGGAUGUGAGCUGGUGAGGUGGGCAGAGCAGAACACCUCUUGGGGGAACAGAGACGGCUUGAAUGGCUUUUCUAGGGACCAUGUAAAAAGAGAGAGACAGAGAAGACAAGGUAACUAGAAAGACAGAAGGGGAGUGCCUGCUGUAGUGAUAUUUCUCCUCCAAAAGGAGAGGGCAGUUUCUUGUCUGAGGUUGGGGUGCCAGCUCUGAGGGCCAGGGAGGCAGCGCUCUGAAACCUGGGUUUCUGGGCCCACAGGCACUAUUUGUAAGGCCUCAAGAAGCUGGAGACUUUGGAGCGCAGCAGCUUGAUGAAGGAUUUUGGCAGCAUCUCCUUGUGCUUCUCUGUGUACUUGAAGUAGUUCUGUGGGUGGGCCAGGACCUCAAAGAAGGCCUUGAUAAGCUUCUUGUCCUGCAGAAGACGGCAGGUGGCAGUCGUCAGCUUCCACGGCAUGUGGGAAAGUAGCCCGUCUUCAAGUCUUAACGGCACCUCAGCACUGAGCCUGCCUGGAGGCAUGAUACAGCAUGGUGACACUACUUCUGUGAGCUGGAGCUUGCCCAGGCCUACCAUGGGGCAAGCACUUUAACGCAUCUGGGAAGCGGCAAUGAAGAAGGCACGUAUCUCAAAGAGCCAGGAAACAGAAAGUCAUGCUAGGGCUGGAGAGAUGGCUCAGAGGUUAGGAGCACUGGCUGCUCUCCCAGAGGUCCUGAGUUCAGCUCCCAGCAACCACAUGGUGGCUCACAACCAUCUAUAGUGAGAUCUGGUGCCCUCUGCUGGCAUGCAGGUGUACAUGCAGACAACAUUGUAUACAUAAUAAAUCUUUGAAAAAAAAAAAAAAAGUCAUGCUGGUACUUAGCACUUUGCCAGCACACGGGUGUGUGUCCAAUGACUGUUCACUUGCCU